ensembl:snRNA U2 U2 spliceosomal RNA
CAAGCUUUUUUGUUUGAUGAAUUGUUCACCAGUGUAAAGAGACUGGUUUUGUCAAAUAAAAACUGAAUCAUCAUCUGUUCUUAUCAGUUUAAUAUCUGAUACGUUCCCUAUGUGGAAACCAUAUUUUAAAUAGAUUUUUGGAACAUUGACCUGGUAUUGCAGUACCUCCAGGAACAGUGCACCCCCC